rnacentral:lncRNA from 12 species
CUUCCCUCCCACCUGCCACCAACUGAUCCUGCUCCCUUUCAGGCCUCGCUUAUCACCCAGAGGGUCUGGAGGGUCUGGAUUCUCCUCCCAGAGAGCCUCUAGGAUCUGAACUCACUGCUUACCUCACCCUACCUUCCGUCAUCUCUGUGCUUGGCAAUCUGACCUCCGCAGCCGUCAGGGCAGGAAAUGUUCCCCAAGGUCACAGCGGCCUCAGGAUCCUCAUCAGCUUUGGGAGAAGAUGGCCAUCCACAGCCCAGCCUGCAGCCCUCGUGUCUAUGAAGCUAACUGCUCACCUCUCCAGAUGGACCUGCCUAGUCCAUCCUCCCCAACUCAGGCAGUUACUGGUUUGGAUAUCUGACAUCAAUUGGUCCAAUGAGAAUGAAGUUCAAGAACUGUGUUCAGUGUUCAGUGCUUCGGUUUUCGCAUCUGACUGAUGUAGCCUAGGAUUGGAGGUGGCCAUCUUGCAAACACAAGGGGAGCCAGCUGUAGGAUGAAGCCAAUCUCAUGGUAAUAAAACAGAGAUGAAA